AGCAACCUUGGCCAAUAUAAUGUCUCAACUCUGUUCUUUCAUACCCUGGUAAAGAAGUUGGCAAAAAUGACAUUUGGAAAUGGUGUACAUCCUUUGAUAACACUUGAUGCAAUAAUAUGUUUUGAAUUUAUAUUUAAUAGGGAACUGUCAGGUUCUAGGAUUUGUAACAUGUAGUUAUCACCUGUGUAUUACAUUACAAAUACCAACACAUGGG